rnacentral:lncRNA from 1 species
UGGGGUCUGGGGGGGUAAGAUGUACGCAGUCCAUACCGCUACCUCUGAUGAAGUAGAAAGGCUAUUUCCGAUAGACCCUCGGCUCAAGACACGAGAUACCACACAAACACAUAGUAAAGCACAGAAGCAGAUUACAUAACAUAAAUACGGCACCCAUAAGUAAUAUAAAAUAGAGGAAAGCAAAGGAAAGCACACAGAUUCGUAAUAAAACAUGGAACUCGGAAGACGGAAUCAUAACAGGAAUAAAACCCCCACCAAGUAAUUUCCUACACUAGCGACCCAAACUGGCCCUAAUCCUCUGCCGAAAUUCGCGCCCUCCAGACCUUC